rnacentral:lncRNA from 1 species
CUUAAUUACAAUUCGCCCCAUACCAAAUGAAUUCUUUCCCUGAGUUUCCCCCAGUCCUCGUUCUGCCGAUAAGAAGUGAUGUUCAAUUCAGCCACAACAUUAUCAUCAACUUCCAACUUCUUGUACUGCUCGACCAAAGACUUAGUUCGCUCAAUUCCUUGGGAGGCAUUACGCCUUUUAGCAGCUAUUCUCGCCUUGCAGUCGUCCAUCUUGGCUUGAAGCUCCUUCAUCUGAGCAACCAAACUAGUCAUCAAAGAGUUUUCAAUCAUGACUUCGGAAGAGAUUUCUUUCAACUCGUCCUCAACUUUGUUGAUCUCCAGAAGCAAAGACUCUUUUUCAGAUACGGCGCGAAGAUAUUGAGUACUUUUGGCCUUUAGUUUAACAUUCUUGGCCAGCAAGGAGAGGACCUCGGAAUGGAUAACUUUCAACGUCGCUUUAAAAUUAGCAGAAAGAUUGAGCGACGAAAGUGUCAGUGCUUGCUCCAAUUUCGAAUUCAAAUGCUCAAACUUAUCCUUAUGCCUAGCAACACUAGCCUUACCGAUAUCCAUAUCCAUGAAGGACACAUACUCAAAUAUCGACUGCUUGAGAAACUUCAUAUCGUCCUCUGAAGAAGCAGAA